GGAAAAAUUUUUAGAUGCCCUUUUUUAUUCGAAAAGUGCCCCUCGAAACCUGGCCCCUCCAACUUUUAGAAGCUUCCUACGCCCCUGUGUAUAACGUUUAUAAAAAGUCUACGAAACACAGUACAUAGCCGGUGAACAGAAUCUCCUUAUUUCUCCGUAAACUUUUGCAUUUAGACAAAUAUGAAGCGAUAACAAAUUUAUUAAAGAAAGACGUUUCGAAGUCAUCUUGACCUCAUUUUCAAGUUCAAAUUAUAACAGAAAACGAUUAAAUGAAUAUAAAUAGCGUUUACAAAUAAUUGCGAAAGCAAACUAAUCCGUCAUACAUGACAGUUGCAAUUUUAAACUUAAUUAACAUAAUUAGAAUAAUUAAACGUGCAAAUUGUAACAAACAAUUAAACAAACAAUAA